UUUACCAACUCCGACCUCAGAUCGGACGAGAUUACCCGCUGAAUUUAAGCAUAUAACUAAGCGGAGGAAAAGAAACUAACAAGGAUUUCCCCAGUAACGGCGAGUGAAGCGGAAAUAGCCCAGCACCGAAUCCCUCAGUGUCACGCUGACGGGAACUGUGGUGUGUGGGACGCCACCAGUCGCAUCAGUGGGCACCGAAGUCCUCCUGAUCGAGGCUUCACCCAGAGCGGGUGUAAGGCCUUUGCAGGUGCCCUACUGUGCGGCCGCGAGCGUCUCAGGAGUCGGGUUGUUUGGGAAUGCAGCCCACAGCGGGUGGUAAACUCCAUCUAA
rnacentral:rRNA from 1 species